GGCGGACGGGUGAGUAACGCGUGAGUAACCUGCCUGCGAGAGGGGGAUAACAACGGGAAACUGUUGCUAAUACCGCAUAACGCAUCGAUUCCGCAUGGAGAUGAUGCCAAAGGGAAACCGCUUGCAGAUGGACUCGCGUCUGAUUAGGUAGUUGGUGAGGUAACGGCCCACCAAGCCGACGAUCAGUAGCCGGACUGAGAGGUUGAACGGCCACAUUGGAACUGAGAUACGGUCCAGACUCC
rnacentral:rRNA from 1 species